CUGGAGGAGAGGUGGGAGAGAGACAGGGCUCCGUGGGGGAAGGCCCAGGCCAGGCUUUCUCUCCCCGAGUGGCAAAUAACAGCGGCCCCUUUGUGGAAUGUGGCACGGCAGGAGGACAGAGUCGCCCCAUUGCUCUCUGGGUCCCGGUGGCCUCCAGCAGUGUUGGGCACAAAGUACUUGCCUGGUAAGCACAUGCAGAACAUGAGUGUCAGACUCUGUCCCAGGUGUUCCUGCUUUUAAGUACAUUAGCCUGCUUAAUCUUCCCAACAACUCAG
rnacentral:lncRNA from 1 species